UAACUGCUCGUAUCUUGACGGUACCUUAUUAGAAAGCCACGGCUAACUACGUGCCAGCAGCCGCGGUAAUACGUAGGUGGCAAGCGUUGUCCGGAAUUAUUGGGCGUAAAGCGCGCGCAGGCGGUUCUUUAAGUCUGAUGUGAAAGCCCACGGCUCAACCGUGGAGGGUC
rnacentral:rRNA from 1 species